UCCCUCUCAGUAUCGCACCUGGAAAAUUUCCAGUAUACUACCAGUCUCGGCUAUGGGAGGGAUAGUCAAGCAGAGGCAUACCCAUUCCAAUCCUAGCUUGGGCAGUGGAUAGCAAGUGGAAGGUACUCUGCUACAAGU